AUUGAACGCUGGCGGCAUGCCUUACGCAUGCAAGUCGAACGGCAGCAUAGGAGCUUGCUCCUGAUGGCGAGUGGCGAACGGGUGAGUAAUAUAUCGGAACGUGCCCUAGAGUGGGGGAUAACUAGUCGAAAGACUAGCUAAUACCGCAUACGAUCUACGGAUGAAAGUGGGGGAUCGCAAGACCUCAUGCUCCUGGAGCGGCCGAUAUCUGAUUAGCUAGUUGGUGGGGUAAAAGCCUACCAAGGCGACGAUCAGUAGCUGGUCUGAGAGGACGACCAGCCACACUGGGACUGAGACACGGCCCAGACUCCUACGGGAGGCAGCAGUGGGGAAUUUUGGACAAUGGGGGCAACCCUGAUCCAGCAAUGCCGCGUGAGUGAAGAAGGCCUUCGGGUUGUAAAGCUCUUUUGUCAGGGAAGAAACGGUAGUAGCGAAUAACUACUACUAAUGACGGUACCUGAAGAAUAAGCACCGGCUAACUACGUGCCAGCAGCCGCCGUAA
rnacentral:rRNA from 1 species